rnacentral:rRNA from 1 species
CUGUGAGCUCGAUGAGUAAGGCGGGACACGUGGUAUCCUGUCUGAAUAUGGGGGGACCAUCCUCCAAGGCUAAAUACUCCUGACUGACCGAUAGUGAACCAGUACCGUGAGGGAAAGGCGAAAAGAACCCCGGCGAGGGGAGUGAAACAGAACCUGAAACCGUGUACGUACAAGCAGUGGGAGCCUUGAUUUAUCAGGGUGACUGCGUACCUUUUGUAUAAUGGGUCAGCGACUUAUAUUCUGUAGCAAGGUUAACCGUAUAGGGGAGCCGCAGGGAAACCGAGUCUUAACUGGGCGUUAAGUUGCAGGGUAUAGACCCGAAACCCGGUGAUCUAGCCAUGGGCAGGUUGAAGGUUGGGUAACACUAACUGGAGGACCGAACCGACUAAUGUUGAAAAAUUAGCGGAUGACCUGUGGCUGGGGGUGAAAGGCCAAUCAAACCGGGAGAUAGCUGGUUCUCCCCGAAAGCUAUUUAGGUAGCGCCUCGUGAACUCAUCUUCGGGGGUAGAGCACUGUUUCGGCUAGGGGGCCAUCCCGGCUUACCAACCCGAUGCAAACUGCGAAUACCGAAGAAUGUUAUCACGGGAGACACACGGCGGGUGCUAACGUCCGUCGUGAAGAGGGAAACAACCCAGACCGCCAGCUAAGGUCCCAAAGUCAUGGUUAAGUGGGAAACGAUGUGGGAAGGCACAGACAGCCAGGAUGUUGGCUUAGAAGCAGCCAUCAUUUAAAGAAAGCGUAAUAGCUCACUGGUCGAGUCGGCCUGCGCGGAAGAUGUAACGGGGCUAAACCAUGCACCGAAGCUGCGGCAGCGACACUAUGUGUUGUUGGGUAGGGGAGCGUUCUGUAAGCCGUCGAAGGUGGCCUGUGAGGGCUGCUGGAGGUAUCAGAAGUGCGAAUGCUGACAUAAGUAACGAUAAAGCGGGUGAAAAGCCCGCUCGCCGGAAGACCAAGGGUUCCUGUUCAACGUUAAUCGGAGCAGGGUGAGUCGACCCCUAAGGCGAGGCCGAAAGGCGUAGUCGAUGGGAAACAGGUUAAUAUUCCUGUACUCGGUGUUACUGCGAAGGGGGGACGGAGAAGGCUAUAUCAGCCGGGCGACGGUUGUCCCGGUUUAAGCGUGUAGGCGGAGGGUCCAGGUAAAUCCGGACUCUUGUUAACGCUGAGGCGUGACGACGAGGCACUACGGUGCUGAAGUGAUAAAUGCCCAGCUUCCAGGAAAAGCCUCUAAGCAUCAGGUAACACAGAAUCGUACCCCAAACCGACACAGGUGGUCAGGUAGAGAAUACCAAGGCGCUUGAGAGAACUCGGGUGAAGGAACUAGGCAAAAUGGUGCCGUAACUUCGGGAGAAGGCACGCUGGCGCGUAGGUGGAGGGACUUGCUCCCCGAGCCGAAGCCAGUCGAAGAUACCAGCUGGCUGCAACUGUUUAUUAAAAACACAGCACUGUGCAAACACGAAAGUGGACGUAUACGGUGUGACGCCUGCCCGGUGCCGGAAGGUUAAUUGAUGGGGUUAUCCGCAAGGAGAAGCUCUUGAUCGAAGCCCCGGUAAACGGCGGCCGUAACUAUAACGGUC